rnacentral:rRNA from 1 species
UACGGAGGGAGCUAGCGUUGUUCGGAAUUACUGGGCGUAAAGCGCGCGCAGGCGGCCCGCGAGGUGUCACGUGAAAGCCCCGGGCUCAACCCGGGAGGGUCGUGGCAAACCGGCGGGCUUGAGGCCGGUAGAGGUGGGUGGAACUCCUGGUGGAGUGGUGAAAUGCGUAGAGAUCAGGAAGAACACCCGUGGCGAAGGCGGCCCACUGGGCCGGUACUGACGCUGAGGCGCGAAGGCGUGGGGAGCGAACGGG